UCGGGAAUUUUGGGCAAUGGGCGAAAGCCUGACCCAGCAACGCCGCGUGAAGGAUGAAGUAUUUCGGUAUGUAAACUUCGAAAGAAUAGGAAGAAUAAAUGACGGUACUAUUUAUAAGGUCCGGCUAACUACGUGCCAGCAGCCGCGGUAAUACGUAGGGACCAAGCGUUGUUCGGAUUUACUGGGCGUAAAGGGCGCGUAGGCGGCAAUUCAAGUCAUCUGUGAAAUCUCCGGGCUUAACUCGGAACGGUCAGAUGAUACUGCUUUGCUAGAGUGCAGAAGGGGCAAUCGGAAUUCUUGGUGUAGCGGUGAAAUGCGUAGAUAUCAAGAGGAACACCUGAGGUGAAGACGGGUUGCUGGGCUGAUACUGACGCUGAGGCGCGAAAGCUAGGGUAGCAAACGGGAUUAGAUACCCAGUAGUCCCUGAGCGGGCUGGCAAGGCGCAU
rnacentral:rRNA from 1 species